UACGAAGGGGGCGAGCGUUGUUCGGAAUUACUGGGCGUAAAGGGCGCGUAGGCGGCCGAUCAAGUUAGGUGUGAAAGUCCUGGGCUUAACCUGGGGACUGCAUUUGAUACUGAUUGGCUUGAAUUCGGGAGAGGAUAGUGGAAUUCCCAGUGUAGAGGUGAAAUUCGUAGAUAUUGGGGAAGAACACCGGUGGCGAAGGCGGCUAUCUGGGACCGACAUUGACGCUGAGGC
rnacentral:rRNA from 1 species